rnacentral:tRNA from 1 species
GCAGGUAUGAUGAAAUUGGUAAACAUAUUAGGUUUAGAUUCUAAACACUUUAGAUUUAUAAAAUAGUGCUAAGGGUUCAAAUCCCUUUACCUGUA